rnacentral:rRNA from 1 species
AUAGUGAACCAGUACCGUGAGGGAAAGGUGAAAAGCACCCCGACAAGGGGAGUGAAAGAGAACCUGAAAUCGGAUGCCUACAAGCAGUCGGAGGGGCAUUAAGCCCUGACGGCGUACCUUUUGUAUAAUGGGUCAGCGAGUUAGUUUAUGUAGCAAGCAUAAGCCGAUAGGUGGAUGCGUAGCGAAAGCGAGUGUUAAUAGCGCGUUAAGUUACAUGAAUUAGACCCGAAACCGAGUGAUCUAGCCAUGAACAGGUUGAAGGUUGGGUAACACCAACUGGAGGACCGAACCCACUCCCGUUGAAAAGGUAGGGGAUGAUUUGUGGCUAGGGGUGAAAGGCCAAUCAAACUCGGAAAUAGCUGGUUCUCCGCGAAAACUAUUUAGGUAGUGCGGUAGGCGAACACCAUGAGGGGUAGAGCACUGAAAGAGCUAAGGGGGAGCGAUCCUUACUAAACUUUAUCAAACUCCGAAUACUCAUGAGUGAUACUUACCAGACAGACAGUAGGUGCUAAGGUCUAUUGUCGAGAGGGAAAGAGCCCAGACCGUCAACUAAGGUCCCUAAAUUAUGGCUAAGUGGUAAAGGAAGUGGGAUAUCCAAAACAGUCAGGAGGUUGGCUUAGAAGCAGCCAUCCUUUAAAGAAAGCGUAAUAGCUCACUGAUCUAAAUAAGACGUCCUGCGCCGAAGAUGUAACGGGGCUAAAGCCAUAUACCGAAGUUACGGGAUUGUAUUGCAAUAGAUACAAUCGGUAGCGGAGCGUUCUGUAGGCCUGCGAAGGUGAACCGUAAGGUUUGCUGGAGGUAUCAGAAGUGAGAAUGCUGACAUGAGUAGCGAAAAGAAGAGUGAGAGACUCUUCCGCUGAAAGUCCAAGGUUUCCUGCGUAAAGCUAAUCUGCGCAGGGUUAGUCGGCCCCUAAGGCGAGGCAGAGAUGCGUAGCUGAUGGGAACACGGUUAAUAUUCCGUGACCAGUUAGGAAGUGACGGAUACAGUAGUUUGUACAUGCUUAAUGGAUUGUGUGUGCAAGUGAUGUGUCCCGGGAAAUAGCCCUAACGAAGACCGUACCCGAAACCGACACAGGUGGACAGGUAGAGUAUACCAAAGCGCUUGAGAGAACUAUGUUGAAGGAACUAGGCAAAAUGCUUGUGUAACUUCGGGAUAAGCAAGCCCGGUUUUAAGGCAACUUAAGGCCGGGGGCACAUACUAGGGGGUAGCGACUGUUUAACAAAAACACAGGACUCUGCGAAAUUGAAAGAUGAAGUAUAGGGUCUGACGCCUGCCCGGUGCCGGAAGGUUAAGAGGAGAUGUGAGAGCAUUGAAUUGAAGCCCCAGUAAACGGCGGCCGUAACUAUAACGGUCCUAAGGUAGCGAAAUUCCUUGUCAGGUAAGUUCUGACCCGCACGAAUGGUGUAACGAUUUGGGCACUGUCUCAACAACCCACCCGGCGAAAUUGUAGUACCGGUGAAGAUGCCGGUUACCCGCGACUAGACGGAAAGACCCCAUGG